rnacentral:SRP_RNA from 1 species
CUGCCGGGACGGGGCGGCGCAAGGGUGCCCAACCCCGCCAGGUCCGGAAGGAAGCAACGGUCAGCAUCGUUGCGGGUGUCCCGUCCCGGCAUCCC